rnacentral:rRNA from 1 species
CCUAAUUCAUUUUAUUUUAAUAAAUAAAAUUACUACCAAAUCCUAACAGAAAAAAUUUUACAAAUUCUAACUUAUUAAUGUAACCCAUCUCUUCUUUUAAAAGCUGCACCUUGAUUUGAUCUAAAAUAAAAUUUUAUUUAAAGAAAAUUAAUCUUCUUUAGAAAUAUUCAUUUCAACAACGAUAUACAAGCAAUAUAAAAGUAAAAUAAAUUGUGGACUAUCAAUUACAGGACAGGUUCCUCUGGUAGGUUCAAGUACCGCCAAGACAUUUAAUUUUCAAGCACUUAACUAAUACUAAUCAGGUCCCAAUAAUUACGAUAUCAAUAACAGGGUAUCUAAUCCUGGUUUAAAGCAAUAUUUUCCUAGAUCAUCUUAUUUUUUAUCCUUUAUUUUAUAUUAAAAUUUCACCUCCCAAUACAAAUACCCUAAAUUACUAAUUAAUUAACUAAAACCACAAGAAUUAAGUAGCACCUUUUGUAUAACCGCA